rnacentral:lncRNA from 1 species
CUGGCUCCGCCUCCCGGCCCCGGGCCCCACCCUGAACCUGAGUGAGUGCCUGGCCCAGGGACCCCCGGCUGCCCCCAAGGAGGCCCCUGCGCCCCCGCCCGGGCCUGCCCUCGGCACGGCCCGCCCCCCACGUGUCCCCGGGCUGGGGGGUUGUUUGGGGCAAGCAGAACCGGAGCCUCCCCCGUGCCAGGGGGCCCCUCCCUGGACGCCCCCUCCCUCCUCGGCAGCCCUCCAGUGCCCUGGCGACCACCCGCCCCAGACCGCCCUUCCGAACGUCCACGGCCGGUUCUGGGACGUCUUGACUGGCAAGGCCUUCGCCAGCACCUAUCUCUUCUACGGCGCCUACCGAGCGGGACCCGAGAGCGGCUCGGCCUACAGCAUCCGCCUGGCCUACCUCCUCAGCCCCUUGGCCUGCCUGAUCCUCUGCUUCUGCGGGACGCUGCAGCGGUGAGGACUGAGCCACUUUCGGGGGUCUUCUGGGGUCACCCCUCCCUCGGCUAAUGCCCCCCAGGUGGCUGGGAGGCCCUUGACCCUAAUCAAAAAGGCUCCUCCGGGGCUCCGGGGCCCGGAUUCUGCGCCUCUGGCUGCCGCCCCUGCCCACCCCCUGCCCCGCCCCAGGCCAAGGCCAAGGCCUGCGCUUGGCCGCCGGGCCCUCCCCACCCCAGAGCCCAGCCAGGGCAGGGGCCGGCGGAGGUGCCCCUGUCCGGCAGCCCCCGGCCUCGCCCCCGCAGGAUGGUGAAGGGGCUGCCCCAGAGGCUGUUCCUGGGCCAGGACUACCGGACGCCGCUCAGCGCCCA